CGUAGAAAAGGAACCCACAGGGGAUGCCUCAGUAACGGCGAGUGAAGCGGCAACAGCUCAAAUUUGAAAUCUGUCUCUUUCAGGGACCGAGUUGUAAUUUGUAGAGGGUGCUUCGGGGUCGGCUCCGGUCUAAGUUCCUUGGAACAGGACGUCACAGAGGGUGAGAAUCCCGUACGUGGCCGGCCGUCUUCCCCAUGUGAAGCCCCUUCGACGAGUCGAGUUGUUUGGGAAUGCAGCUCUAAAUGGGAGGUAUAUUUCUUCUAAAGCUAAAUAUCGGCCGGAGACCGAUAGCGCACAAGUAGAGUGAUCGAAAGAUGAAAAGCACUUUGAAAAGAGAGUCAAAAAGUACGUGAAAUUGUUGAAAGGGAAGCGCUUGCGACCAGACUUGCCCGCAGUUGCUCAACCGGCCUUCUGGCUCGGUGCACUCUUCUGCGGUCAGGCCAGCAUCGGUUCGGGCGGUCGGAUAAAGACCUCGGGAAUGUGGCUCCCCUCGGGGAGUGUUAUAGCCCUUGGUGCAAUGCGGCCAGCCUGGACCGAGGACCGCGCUUCGGCUAGGAUGCUGGCGUAAUGGUCGUAAGCGGCCCGUCUUGAAACACGGACCAAGGAGUCUAACAUCUAUGCGAGUGUUUGGGCGUCAAACCCAUACGCGUAAUGAAAGUGAACGGAGGUGGGAACCCUUGGGUGCACCAUCGACCGAUCCCGAUGUCUUCGGAAGGAUUUGAGUAAGAGCAUAGCUGUUGGGACCCGAAAGAUGGUGAACUAUACCUGAAUAGGGUGAAGCCAGAGGAAACUCUGGUGGAGGCUCGCAGCGGUUCUGACGUGCAAAUCGAUCGUCAAAUUUGGGUAUAGGGGC
rnacentral:rRNA from 1 species